AAAGAGAUAGCUGGGUCAAAUGGUGGUUCCAUUCCAAGUUUUCCAAGGAAUCUCCAUACUGCUUUCCAUAUUAGCUGCACCAUGUUGCAGUCCCACCAGCAAU
rnacentral:pre_miRNA from 1 species